rnacentral:rRNA from 1 species
CACCGCGGUUAUACGAGAGGCCCAAGUUGACAGACACCGGCGUAAAGAGUGGUCAAGGAUAAAAGCAACUAAAGCCGAACAUCCCCCUAGCUGUUAUACGCACUCGGAGGAAUGAAGCCCCACCACGAAAGUGGCUUUACCUCACCUGAACCCACGAUAGCUAAGAAA